rnacentral:rRNA from 1 species
GGCGGCGUGCCUAACACAUGCAAGUCGAACGGGAAAACCCGAAAGGGUUAGUACAGUGGCGAACUGGUGCAUAACGCGUGGGAAUCUGCCCUUGAGUGAAGGAUACCUUCGAGAAAUCGGAGCUAAUACUGCAUAAGCCCAGAGAUGGGGAAAGAUGGCCUCAAAGCUAUCGCUGAAGGAUGAGCCUGCGUACUAUUAGCUAGUUGGUGGGGUAAAGGCCUACCAAGGCAGAGAUGGUUAGCCGGCCUGAGAGGGUGUACGGCCACAUUGGGACUGAGAUACGGCCCAGACUCCUACGGGAGGCAGCAGUGGGGAAUAUUGCACAAUGGACGAAAGUCUGAUGCAGCGACGCCGCGUGGAGGAUGAAGGUUUUCGGAUUGUAAACUCCUGUUGAGUGGGAAGAAAGACUGUUACCUAAUACGUAACAGGGAUGACGGUACCACUAGAGAAAGCACCGGCAAACUUCGUGCCAGCAGCCGCGGUAAUACGAAGGGUGCAAGCGUUAUUCGGAGUUACUGGGCGUAAAGAGCGCGUAGGCGGUUUCUUAAGUCAUGUGUUAAAUCUCCCGGCUUAACCGGGAACAUGCACGUGAAACUGGGAAGCUAGA